rnacentral:rRNA from 1 species
GACGAGGGAUCCUAGCGUUGUUCGGAAUCACUGGGCGUAAAGGGUGCGUAGGCGGGUCUUUAAGUCAGGGGUGAAAUCCUGGAGCUCAACUCCAGAACUGCCUUUGAUACUGAGGAUCUUGAGUUCGGGAGAGGUGAGUGGAACUGCGAGUGUAGAGGUGAAAUUCGUAGAUAUUCGCAAGAACACCAGUGGCGAAGGCGGCUCACUGGCCCGAUACUGACGCUGAGGCACGAAAGCGUGGGGAGCAAACAGG